rnacentral:rRNA from 1 species
UACGUAGGGUGCAAGCGUUAUCCGGAAUUAUUGGGCGUAAAGAGCUCGUAGGCGGUCUGUCGCGUCUGCUGUGAAAUCUGGGGGCUCAACCCCCAGCCUGCAGUGGGUACGGGCAGACUAGAGUGCGGUAGGGGAGAUUGGAACUCCUGGUGUAGCGGUGGAAUGCGCAGAUAUCAGGAAGAACACCGAUGGCGAAGGCAGAUCUCUGGGCCGUAACUGACGCUGAGGAGCGAAAGUAUGGGGAGCGAACAGG